UGAAUACGAGAUGCUACGGCGUCGAAGCAGUCUAUGUCUUACUUCCAAGAAAAGCUUGCACUGUCAUAAACAAAUAAUGCCUGUACCAUAACCGACACAGGUGGGUAGGUAGAGUAUACUAAGGGGCGCGAGAUAACUCUCUCUAAGGAACUCGGCAAAAUAACUCCGUAACUUCGGGAGAAGGAGUGCCUUAUUUAUAAGGUUGCAAUAACAAGAUCCAAGCAGCUGUUUACCAAAAACACAGGUCUCCGCUAAGUCGUAAGACGAUGUAUGGGGGCUGACGCCUGCCCAGUGCCAGAAGGUUAAAGAAGUUGGUUAGCAUCCGCGAAGCUGAUAACUGAAGCCCUGGUGAACGGCGGCCGUAACAAUAACGGUCCUAAGGUAGCGAAAUUCCUUGUCGGGUAAGUUCCGACCCGCACGAAAGGCGUAAUGAUUUGGAUACUGUCUCGGAGAGGGGCUCGGUGAAAUAGACUUGUCUGUGAAGAUGCGGACUACCUGCACCAGGACAGAAAGACCCUAUGAAGCUUUACUGUAACCUGAAAUUGAAAUUGGACUUUACUUGCGCAGUAUAGGUGGGAGGCGUUGAGAAUAUUCUUGCGGGAUUAUUGGAGCCAUCAGUGAGAUACCACUCUUGUAAUGUUAGAUUUCUAACUUUGUAUCAUUAUCUGGUCAAAGAACAGUUUCAGGCGGGCAGUUUGACUGGGGCGGUCGCCUCCUAAACGGUAACGGAGGCGCACAAAGGUUUCCUCUGAACGGGUAGAAAUCGUAUCUAGAGUGUAAAGGCAUAAGGAAGCUUGACUGUGAGACCUACAAGUCGAGCAGGGACGAAAGUCGGUCUUAGUGAUCUGACGGUGCUGAGUGGAAAGGCCGUCACUCAACGGAUAAAAGUUACUCUAGGAUAACAGGCUGAUCUCCCCCAAGAGUUCACAUCGACGGGGAGGUUUGGCACCUCGAUGUCGGCUCAUCGCAUCCUGGGGCGGUAGUACGUCCCAAGGGUUGGGCUGUUCGCCCAUGAAAGCGGUACGCGAGCUGGGUUCAGAACGUCGUGAGACAGUUCGGUCCAUAUCCGGUGUAGGCGUUAGAAUAUUGAGAGGAGCCUUCUUUAGUACGAGAGGACCGAGAAGGACAUACCUCUGGUGUACCAGUUAUCGUGCCAACGGUAAACGCUGGGUAGCUAUGUGUGGAGUGGAUAACCGCUGAAAGCAUCUAAGUGGGAAGCCCACCUCAAGAUAAGUAUUC
rnacentral:rRNA from 1 species